CUUCCCUUCGCUCUUCUUCUUCUUCUUCCUCUGCUCAGAACCGAGCAGAGCCGUGCCGCCGCCGCCCCGACCAUCCCCGGCCGCGUCUCUCUCCGAUUCCUCGCGCCCAAGCCUUCCUCUCCUCCUCCUCCACCUCUGCCGUGCCUCCCCAAGCCCGGUUGAGCCCUACCCCGGCCGGAAUCGGCCUAGCUACCACCAGCCACCAUUGGAGUCCACCCGAACCUCCAACCUCACUGUCGAUCUAUCAUCUCCGGGCCUCUUCGGUCAACCUUGAUAUGCAAAUCGACUCCCCUCAACUCACUGAUGCUCGUGCUCUCCACGUUCCGUCGCAUUCGCGUUGUUUCCGCGCCCGUUCCCGAGCCAUGCCACCGUCGGCAUGCUGCUGCUCGCCGUAAGUCUCGCGCACGCACCCCUGCGCCGCGCCGCCGAGUGCCCUGACUCCGCCUGGCCCUUCUGAACCCUCCCAUGGCCGCCCUGUCGCCGGCCACCCGCCGGAGCGCUGCCACAGGCCGUUGUCACCACUGCCCGGAGUACUGCCCCGCCGCCGACCCUCCUCCGGCCACCUCCGACCCCACCACGACCACCCCCAGUGACCGAACCGUCGGAGAAUGAACCCGUGGAGCUCACCGAGUCCGUUGAACCUGAUCCCGGUGUCCAGUUCGCAGUUGAGCCCGAAGUUAACCCAGGCAAGCAGCUAAGCAUAAUUCCUUGCACCUAUUUAACUUGAUUAGUUUAGUUACCUUACUUGGGUAUUGUUGGGAUAUAUAUAUAUACUAUGUAUGUAUUGCAUUCCUGAACCUA